GAGCGCGGCGCCCCCGACGCGGCGCUCGGCUCGGCUCGGGCAUUUCCGCCUCUUUGUUUUAAACUCCGGACGGGCUUUUUUCUCCUCCUCUUGGGGGGGACCCAGAGGGAGCGGCGCCCCCUCCCCCCUCCGGCGCGGACCCCGCGUGCGCCUUGCUCGCCCGCAGCCCCGAGACCGCAGGCGUCACAAUGUAGCAGGGACUCCAGGCGUCGUGCUCAGAAAAUGGAAAAAGAGCCAGGGCCGGAAGGAGGGUGCAGAAGCGAGUCCGCGUGCGGAGCCAGGAGGCAGCGUCGCGUGGGAGUGCUGGCCUGAAGCCUCCAUGCCCCGGCAGAGGGACGGACACGCGGACGUCUAGCGGAGAAGCCAAAGAUGUUGACCAGGAAGAUCAAGCUGUGGGACAUCAACGCCCACAUCACCUGCCGCCUGUGCAGUGGGUACCUCAUCGACGCCACCACGGUGACCGAGUGUCUGCACACCUCUCAAGCCCAGACAAAAGCAGGACCCAGGACCAGGGGCAGAGAUGAUUUUGAAGAUAAGUCAGAAAAGUCAUUUCACACUAAAGGUCCUGUGGGUGGUUUCAGAGCAGAUGAGGCCUUACUUAGGAGAGCAAAACACAGGAGAGACCGCACGUUCCUCCCACCGAGCAGCAAGGCCAGUAGCUGCUGUGACACAGCGCUCACUGCUGGCAGUUUCCAAAUCUCCAAAGGAGUUCCUUAAAUCCUUCAAAGGGGAACCUGCCAGUGUGUUCCUCACACUUGAUGUGUGUCCUCACACCUGAUGAGUGUGUGCU